CUAUUGAUACUGUUAUUGUUCUGUUACUGCUUCUGUUAUUGCUAGUGCUGCUGCUAUUUUUCCAACAAAAACUACCAAAUUUAUCCAACUUGAAAAACUUGGAAUACUUGUAUCUGAGAAAUUCUACGAGUUUGGUAAAGAUUCAGGGCUUGGAGGACCUCAACUCGGUACACAAAAUCGAUGCUAGAGGCUGCAUUGAUCUGACGAUUACUUUUUUAAGUAGCUUAAUUCAGGUUGGUCUUGUUUCUUUCUUGUUGUCCCUCUUUUCCAUU
rnacentral:lncRNA from 1 species